rnacentral:lncRNA from 1 species
GCUCUUUUAUUUACGAAGGCCAAGGACAGUGUUAAGGGCUGCAGGAUCCAGUUCUCUCAGUAUCUGGUUUGUCCCGAGUCGUUCUGCUUUCCUGGAGCCUUGAGAGGCCAGGCCCCUUGGAAUGGGAAAGAGCUCUGAGCUACUUCUCUGAUCUCUGCUGUCGCAUCUGUGCCUCUUGUAUCCCAGGUCCUUAGGAAGCCACCACGGCAAGCCAAGCACAAGCUCACCCUGUGACAGCAUUAUUCCUCCUUCCCCAGAGGACCUGGAAGGCUGUGCAAACCUUUUCCUAAACCCAAAGGGGGCUCCCUAGAGAGUGGUGGCCUUAAUCCCUGUGCUGACCUUGUGAAAUCAUGCUCAGGCCAGAGCUGCUCCAACGAUCCAGUCUUAAGGUCACCACUUCCUUAGUCGGGAUCUCGGAGGGCUAUUUCAACCCCUUUGCUGCUUGUCAACAGCCCAUCUGGGGCUGUAAAAGUUUUCUCAGACGUUUGGAGUUCAUGCCCCACUCUCAGCCUGCUACACCGAGGGGAACUGUUCAGAGGCCUGAAGGUGCAGAGCUAGGCCUGAGGGACCUUUGGACAAGCCCAUGGCUACCAUUUUAUAUCUUUGAGUCCAGGAGGCUGCUGAAGGAGCCUCAAGCAGGUCCCAGGGAGGCCUGGCCUGGCCUUGGGUGCCAGCUUCCUUCUUGCCUGUCGUGUUCUCAGUAGCUGCCAGUUACUCCCACUGUACCCUAUUUGAUGCUGAUAUUCACGCCCCCACCCCCCACCCCCAAUACGGCAUGCUGGAGAUUUCUGGAUCCUUCCCUGGGAGGGGGAUGUCUCCUAACUAGAUGAGACAGGAGCCUUCAUUCCUUGACUUGUCAUUUGGGAACUAUUUAUUUAUUUCUUAAUAUUUAAUUUUUAACAUCCUCAGGGACCAGGGGCCUCUUGCUUUCCAGAGGUCCAAGUGCAUUUAUCCCAAAAUAAGGCACCUUCUUGGCAUCUCCAAAUCCUCCCCCAGUUCCAAGGCCCUGGGGUCCCUUACUUUGUGACUCUUAGGUGCAGGAGUGAUAAAAACUGACGGAACUGGGAAGUUGGGAGUGUUCUCAGUCACAGGAAACUAGCAGAUGUGGGUGAGAUCAAAGGCAGGGCUCAGUCCUGCCCUUUCUGUACUCUCAAGUGCUGGAGGGAGUUGGCAAGAGGCCAGAAUUCUAGUUUUAUUUAUCAGCCUGGAAUCUGGCUUGAAGAAACCAUAUUUGGCAUGGAAUUACUGAAGGGUCAGAAUGUUCUAGAGGCCCCUUCACUUUCCAGUUCCACAGGAGACUUAAAGUUACUUUUCUGAUAUGACCACUUAACUUUAGUUGUACAGAAGGAAGUCUAAGUGAAUGUGUGUCGGACUGUUCAGGGUGUUAGUAAGAGCUAUAAAGGAUUCCUUCACCAUUCCCUAGGCAAUAGUCUACAGCCCUGUUGGGAACUGGAGAUAGAGAUGGGGUUUUUUGUCUUUGAGCUACGGACUAUUGGGUGUUUCUUAACAUUCAUUUACGCAUGAGUAUGGUUCUAUGAG